rnacentral:lncRNA from 10 species
GCCUUUUGCCCACCCCUCACCCCCAGCCCCUGCACCCUCUGGACUUGGGCGGCCUCCUGGGUUUAUGUGCCCCCGGGCCCCACACCCCAAUCCACCCCAGCCACUGACUCAGAGUCCUCAAGAGCACAGGGACCCAAGGAGAUACAGCCACCAUGUCCCAGCACCCUGGGCUCAGAAGGGGACAGACACUCCCUUGGGUACACAACGGUCAGGGGAGGGGGCUGAGGGCACUGCAGUGGCACCUCAGGACACCAUCAACUGCCGGCUGUUCUGGGGAGGAUGCCAACUCCAGCUCCGAGGCCUGGCAGGUGUCCCUGCAGAUCAGAGAGGUCCUGCCCAUGUGGUGGGGGGGACCCUGGGUGGUGGGCAGGCUAGAGUUGGGGGGAAGUUUAAAACAAUUUUUAUUAAUAUAUAAAUAGAGACUUGGGUCUCACUAUGCGGCCCGACUGGCCUUGAAGUUUGGCCUCAAGUGAUCCUCCUGCCUCAGCCUCCCAAAGUGCUAGGAUUACACAGCCCUCGCCCCUCGGGUCCCUUCUGCCCUUGUGGGAGUUGCCAGUCCUCCUAUCCUCCCAGUACAAAGCUGGCUUCCACUUCUGCGGGGGCUACCACAUCAGCGAGGACUGGGUGGUCACCGCUGCCCACCAGGGGUCAGGAAAAGGGUCGGAAAUGAACUGCAGGCUGGGGAACCAGCACCCCCAUCCCCCGGCCACAGGCAGAGCCGCCUCUGCAGGUGACACCCACCCCAGGCCGUGCACCCCACCUCCACCCUCGCAGGCCACCCAGACGGCAGCUUGGGGAAACCUGGGAGGUCCCGUACCCUCACUGUGCAGGCACCCCCAUGAGCCCAGGCACCGCCUGCCACCCUCACUCUCCAGGAAGAGCCACCGCGUGGUGGCCGGGAUCGUGUGGUGGCCAGGGCGUCUGACCUUGGCUCUCACCCGGAGGCCAUCCAGGUGCUGAGGAUGGCUAACGCUAAGGCCACACAGCCAGGGAGAGGAGGUGGCUCGUGACACCACGAUGGGACACACCCACCUCUGGGAGAGGAGGGUGACUCCGACAGCCCUUGCCUGCCAGGAUGGAGCCUGGACUCUGGAGGGCAUCGUGUCCUGGAGCAGCACCAGCACCUCCUGUUGUCACCAGGCGUGGAUGCCCGCAUCAUGAAAUUCAUGCCUGGGAAGGCGUGGAGGCCGAGACCACCCCCCCUACCCCGCAUCUGUGUAAAACACAAAUAAAGCCAUUGAGAGCAACUGCA